rnacentral:rRNA from 1 species
AGAGUUUGAUUCUGGCUCAGGAUGAACGCUAGCGACGGGCUUAACACAUGCAAGUCGAGGGGCAGCAUAGAAGUAGCAAUACUUGGUGGCGACCGGCGCACGGGUGAGUAACGCGUAUGCAACCUACCUAUCAGAGGGGAAUAACCCGGCGAAAGUCGGACUAAUACCGCAUAAAACAGGGGCACCGCAUGGUGAUAUUUGUUAAAGAAAUUCGCUGAUAGAUGGGCAUGCGUUCCAUUAGGUAGUUGGUGAGGUAACGGCUCACCAAGCCGACGAUGGAUAGGGGAACUGAGAGGUUGGUCCCCCACACUGGUACUGAGACACGGACCAGACUCCUACGGGAGGCAGCAGUGAGGAAUAUUGGUCAAUGGGCGGGAGCCUGAACCAGCCAAGUCGCGUGAAAGGAAGAAGGAUCUAUGGUUCGUAAACUUCUUUUGCAGGGGAAUAAAGUGCAGGACGUGUCCUGUUUUGUAUGUACCCUGAGAAUAAGGAUCGGCUAACUCCGUGCCAGCCGCUGC